UAGUUGUAAAUUAUGCCCUAAAUCAUAAUAGUUCUGUAUUUUAAUUGAAAGCUGUUAGAGCAAAAAACAAGUACCAAAAUUAGACUUCCUAUGGAUAUUUAUCAAUUCCAACCAUAAACGCACAUUGCUUUGGAAGUUAUUCCCAUUUUAAUACAUAGAAAUUAUAAAAAUAAAUUAGAAGAAAUUGUUUUGGCAUUGAUAUAGUUAUGGUCAAUCUCAGGUAAUGAAAUUCUGUACGUCUUGGCGGAAUAAAAUGGAACAUUAAUAUACCAACACACUAAGGCACGGCACGUUUUCAACCUAUUGGUAAAAUCCUACUUAAAGACUAAAAUACAUAAAAAUUUUGAAUAUCAAAACUAUAUUUUUUCGGCUAUAAAGUAACAAUUCAAUAUAAUGAGAAAUUUGAUUUUGAAACUUUAAUAAAAAUUUUAUAGUUUUAUAGUUUAUAGAACACUAUAAUGGUCAUAAAUGAAAAUUUUUCUUUUGUAAACAGAAAUUUUCUAUAAUAGAAAUGAAUCACUUGUCACUAAUAUUAUUUAAAAUUAAAAUAAUAUUAAAAAUAUUAUUAACUUAAAACUAAAAUUAUUUAAUUCAAAAAGCCAUAAAAAAAUUACUACAAAAUUGUGGAUACGUAUUUCUGGAAAAAUAUUAUCAUUACCAUGUACAGUACGCUUAACACAUACUGUCAGUAACUAGUAUAAUAAUUGUUUUGUGGCUAUUUUAGUUAAAUGUUUUUUAGUUUUAAGUUAAUAAUAUUUUUAAUAUAGUUUUAAUUAAAAGAAAAAAUAAUUUUUUUGUGUAUUUCUCACCAAUAAUAUAUUUUACCACGUCAUAUAAAUAAAAAGUUUUAUGUUUUAUUAUUUGAUAAGAUUUAAAGCUCUAAAGAUUUAAAUAUCUAAAAUGAAAUUUCAUAGUUAUGGAAUACUUUAAAUUAUCUUUAAUCACAAAUAAUUUUUAUAAUUUUAAAUGCUAUAUAAAAUUAUCAACUAAUUGUUAUUUAAAUUGUAUUAAAUUUAAAU